GUGCUCACUUUCAGCAGCACGUAUACUAAAAUUGGAACUGUACAGAGAAGAUUAGCACAGUGCCUGCUAAAGAAUGACUCACAAAUUCAGGAAGAACUCCAUAUGUUU